AAUUUAAACUUUUAAUAAACUUUAAAUUGCAAAUUUAAAUUAGAAUUUUAAAAAUU
rnacentral:tRNA from 1 species